rnacentral:rRNA from 1 species
UAAGGAAUAUUGGACAAUGGUCGCAAGACUGAUCCAGCCAUGCCGCGUGCAGGAAGACGGCCCUAUGGGUUGUAAACUGCUUUUGUACCAGAGAAAACCUAUCUACGUGUAGAUAGCUGAUAGUAUGGUAAGAAUAAGCAUCGGCUAACUUCGUGCCAGCAGCCGCGGUAAGACGAAGGAUGCGAGCGUUAUCCGGAUUCAUUGGGUUUAAAGGGUGCGUAGGUGGGCAGAUAAGUCAGUGGUGAAAUCUUCCGGCUUAACCGGGAAACUGCCGUUGAUACUAUUUGUCUUGAAUAUUGCGGAGGUAAGCGGAAUAUGUCAUGUAGCGGUGAAAUGCUUAGAUAUGACAUAGAACACCAAUUGCGAAGGCAGCUUACUACACAAUCAUUGACACUGAGGCACGAAAGCGUGGGUAGCGAACA